rnacentral:lncRNA from 1 species
CAUGCCCGCCCGCGGUCCCGCCGGUGCCCACCGGUCUCCACCCUACCUGUGCGUCCAGCCCUGCGAAGUCCGCCACCCGGGCGCCCGGUGCCAACGGUCCCUAAUGUGACCAGGGCUGACUGCAGGGCGGGGUGACCCCAGUCCCUGGUGGGGCUCAGUUCUGAGGGACAGCCCUGGAGUGAGUCUAUCCCGUGCCUUCCGCCCACUCCCACGGACGGCGCCGCCGACUCCGGGGCCGAGCAGCUUCACACUGAGGCGAGCCGGCCCGGAGCCGAGGGCGAGGGCCACACACCCCCUGGCGGCCCGCCCGCAGGGCACAAAAAGGUUUAGAGGUGGGACGCACAGAGGGGGGCGGGAGGGAACCGGACGUGACACCACAAGGAAGCUGCGGCGGACGAUUAGCCACGGCGGAAGCCGGUGCCUCAGUAAUUCCGGCGCGCCAGUGCGGACGAGCCGCUAAGCAGCGCCCCCUGCAGGCACACAUUGGCACCUUCCGGGCCGUCCCACCGCGGCCCGCCAGAGCCGGCGUCGGGCCGUCGGCACCUUCCGUUCUGUUCGGCUGCCGACCGCGGGGCGGAGGCGCGUUACUGUUGCACUGCCGCACCCCCUUGUGGCCUCCCGUUGGCAACGAACGUUCCACCACUCCAGGGCCGGUGAUGCGGAACGAAGACAAAAGCGCUUACUAACGCACACACGGAACAACCCCCCAGCACCGUACCGUCGGAAUCUUGGAUAAUGCCGAGUCACGAGGUUCCGCCUUCAGGCCACAGGAUGCUGGAUUUGGCGUUUGAGCGCUGGGAUUGGCAACUGGCUGCCGGAAGCCUUCCCGGAGUCUGUAUCACGGAAAGGUUCUUCCUCAGCUGGAGAUCUGCCCUCCAAACUGUACUUGUUAUCAAACCUUCAUCCGCUUUUUCUUGGUUGAAAGUCAGUAAGGUUUGAAGGUCUCCUUCAAAUCUUAUUCAGAACAGGAUUUCUCUGUGUAGCUGUGGCUGAAGGUGGGUUUAAAGGAAAACCCAGAUAAAUGAUUAUCAGGUAUUUAUUAGGAGAGCCCUCACACAAUGGCG